rnacentral:rRNA from 1 species
CAUGCAAGUCGAGGGGCAGCAUGUUGGUUGCUUGCAACCAACGAUGGCGACCGGCGCACGGGUGAGUAACGCGUAUCCAACCUACCCUUGUCCAUCGGAUAACCCGUCGAAAGGCGGCCUAACACGAUAUGCGGUUCACAGCAGGCAUCUAACGUGAACGAAAUGUAAAGGAGAAGGAUGGGGAUGCGUCUGAUUAGCUUGUUGGCGGGGUAACGGCCCACCAAGGCUACGAUCAGUAGGGGUUCUGAGAGGAAGGUCCCCCACAUUGGAACUGAGACACGGUCCAAACUCCUACGGGAGGCAGCAGUGAGGAAUAUUGGUCAAUGGACGAGAGUCUGAACCAGCCAAGUAGCGUGCAGGAUGACGGCCCUAUGGGUUGUAAACUGCUUUUAUAGGGGGAUAAAGUGUGCCACGUGUGGCAUAUUGCAGGUACCCUAUGAAUAAGGACCGGCUAAUUCCGUGCCAGCAGCCGCGGUAAUACGGAAGGUCCGGGCGUUAUCCGGAUUUAUUGGGUUUAAAGGGAGCGUAGGCCGUUUGGUAAGCGUGUUGUGAAAUGUCGGGGCUCAACCUGGGCAUUGCAGCGCGAACUGCCAGACUUGAGUGCGCAGGAAGUAGGCGGAAUUCGUCGUGUAGCGGUGAAAUGCUUAGAUAUGACGAAGAACUCCGAUUGCGAAGGCAGCCUGCUGUAGCGCAACUGACGCUGAAGCUCGAAAGCGUGGGUAUCGAACAGGAUUAGAUACCCUGGUAGUCCACGCGGUAAACGAUGGAUGCUCGCUGUUUGCGUCUGACGUAAGCGGCCAAGCGAAAGCGUUAAGCAUCCCACCUGGGGAGUACGCCGGCAACGGUGAAACUCAAAGGAAUUGACGGGGGCCCGCACAAGCGGAGGAACAUGUGGUUUAAUUCGAUGAUACGCGAGGAACCUUACC